AACACAUCUCUCGUUUACUAAAUACUUCUCAAAGUUACAUUCCCUAGCAGAAGCCAGAAUACCAACAUGGCUGCUUUUACAUUUACAAAUUUUGUAACCCUCUUAGUUUUAACUGCUACAUUGUUGGCAGUUGCAGAAUCCAACCGAAACCUCCCAAACUACAAUCAGAAGUCGAGGCAAAUCAUCGUUGGAGGGGAUCAAAAGUGGCGAUUCGGAUUUAACUACACUAAUUGGGCUAUAAAACAGGGUCCUUUCUACGUAAAUGACACUCUAGUGUUCAAAUAUGAUCCACCGAGCAAUGGCACAUUUCCUCACAACGUAUAUUUGCUACGAAAUUAUCAAAGUUUCUUGAAUUGUGACCUGAAGAAAGCAAAGAAGGUGGCAGACGUGACACAAGGUGGAGGAAAAGGAUUCAAGUAUGUGAUGAAGAAGCAGAAGCCGUUCUAUUUUGCCUGUGGCGUGGGAAACGGACUCCAUUGCAAAGUCGGAUUAAUGAAAUUUAGCGUGAUUCCACUUGCACGCUGUUAAUACUGAGAAAUAUCGACUGGAGUGAGUCAUAAGGCAAAGUUGCUAGUAGGACUGGUAGUCUCUGCAUCAAUAAAAAUUUCGAGCCUUUCUUAUAUUUUAAUUA